AUUGAACGCUGGCGGCAGGCCUAACACAUGCAAGUCGAGCGGACGAAGGGAGCUUGCUCUUGGAUUCAGCGGCCGACGGGUGAGUAAUGCCUAGGAAUCUGCCUGGUCGUGGGGGCUAACGUCCGGAAACGGGCGCUAAUAUCGCAUACGUCCUGAGGUAGAACGUGAGGGAUCUUCGGACCUCACGCUAUUUGAUGAGACUAGGACGGAUUAGCUAGUUGGUAGGGUAAGGGCCUACCAAGGCGACGAUCCGUAACUGGUCUGAGAGGCUGAUCAGUCACACUGGAACUGAGACACGGUCCAGACUCCUACGGGAGGCAGCAGUAGGGAAUAUUGCGCAAUGGGCGAAAGCCUGAUGCAGCCAUGCCGCGUGUGUGAAGAAGGUCUUCGGAUUGUAAAGCACUUUAAGUUGGGAAGAAGGGAAGUAAGUUUAAAUCUGGCUGUUUUGACGGUACCAACAGAGUAAGCACCGGCUAACUACGUG
rnacentral:rRNA from 1 species